GUCCCGGCUCGCCCAUCUCCUUGCUCCCUCCCCAUCGUUCAGAUGGGGGGAAACUGAGGCUGGAAGGGAACCAGAGGCCGAGGAAGGGAUCAGGCCCAAAGAAAUGGGGGUGGGGGGGACCGGGACAGGUGCGGAGUAAUGGGGGGGUAGUUGGCGUCCCCCAGCCCCCCGCCCCCCUCGCCCGGCCCCAGGCUGUCGGGGUAAAAGCCCACAGGCUCCGCAGGUAGGUCCCGGCAGGGAGAGGGCGGGGUCCCGGCCACCCCCGGGAGAGUGGGGGAGGGGAGGCGGGAUUGACAGUCGGUAAUUGGGUAACUGGAGGCGGCUUCUCCGGCCGGGCAGCCCCGCCACCGCGACGCCGGGCCCCUGACGUCACCCGAUUCGCCAGGAAAUGAACUUUUUAAUAAUCCGGGGAGGGAGGAAAGCCCUCGGCCCCCCUGGCUUGGGGGGCGCCCGGCCGGGCCCAGCUCGGCAGGCGCGCCCCCUUCGUCCCGGCUCCCCGGUUGCACCCCCCUCGCCCCCUCCCAGGCCAGCUCUGGGCAGCGCGGACGCGGGCGCAGGCCGCGGCCGGGGUCCUCCGCCUGCCACUGCGUCCGGCGGCCCGAGUGUCGGUCCGAGGCCCCGGCACAGGGUCCUGGAGGUGAUAAUCAUCUGCCCCAGAGAUGCCAUCAGCCAUUCCUGAGAAAGCUGCUCUGCAGCUUGAUAGGAGAACAUUUGUGAAUGCCAGGGGUAGACACUCCCUCUCCCCACCAAAGGCACUCCUGUUCUGCCGAGCCUCCACAUCCAUCUCCAGCAGGAGGAUCGAAAUCAAACAUAUGUGGUCUGAAUCCCAGAUCUGCGUGACCCCGGGUAAGUCAUUUACCUUCUCUGAGCCUCCUGUUUCUCCUCUGAGAAUUACAUGGCAUGAAGGCUAUGAGAGUUCCUGUGCUCUCCUG
rnacentral:lncRNA from 1 species